rnacentral:piRNA from 1 species
UGUGACUUUGUAAUCUAGGUGCUUG